CAAAACAAAGCCACAAAACUCCUGACACUCCCAGUCAACAUUCUGAUGCCAUGGAGACUAUCAUUUUUUCAGUAAGCAGAUAGAGCUAGGCUGGAAGGCACAGGGUGACAGUCACUUACCCGUAAAUCACAUCGUCAUCAGAAUCGUUCAGCAUGGAAAACGCAGGGUUGUCUUUUAGCUGGGACUCUGAAAAUUCAACAAACGCCUUUUUAAUGAGAGCAUUUUGUGUUAUUCGCCAGGGAGAGGUCUGAAGGAGUUAGACCCAAAGCCUCAAGUAGAGUCAGUAGUGGUGUGCUGUGAGACUGUGACAUCAUAGGUCAGCACAGCUGUGCCCUGAGUUCAACUUGAGGCUACCAUCCACCUGCCUUCUCUCUGUCACGGGACCCUGUACCCGGGGAAAACAUGAGCCAAUGGAAACUCUUGCGUUUCAGCUAUCUGGACGGCGACCCUGACCCGAGGUGGCUCACCAUACAGAGCAUUCUUGGAUGGAGAGUACACGAAGGCCAGCGUGUACAGAAGCCCUUUCCAGGAUGAACCACUGACCAGCUUGAGGAGGGGUGGGAGUCCACAGCCCAGAUGCCAGGAUGCCUCAGUUCAAGUCAUGGCCAGAUGUCACAAGGACAGGAAGGGGACUGAGGUCUACUGACAUAAGGAGAUGCAGAACCGAAGCUCAGAAUUCUACCUCCUCCACACUACAGACCCCCAAGUGCCUACGGAAUCAGUGUAGAGCUUAGUCACAAUAAAAAAGGCCAUCAUCAA